CAGUAGCCGCGGGAAUACGGAGGGCGCGAGCGUUACCCGGAUUUACUGGGCGUAAAGGGCGUGUAGGCGGCCUGGGGCGUCCCAUGUGAAAGGCCACGGCUCAACCGUGGAGGAGCGUGGGAUACGCUCAGGCUAGAGGGUGGGAGAGGGUGGUGGAAUUCCCGGAGUAGCGGUGAAAUGCGCAGAUACCGGGAGGAACGCCGAUGGCGAAGGCAGCCACCUGGUCCACUUCUGACGCUGAGGCGCGAAAGCGUGGGGAGCAAACCGGAUUAGAGACCCGUGUAGUCCCUGUCUCUUAUAC
rnacentral:rRNA from 1 species